CGUUCCAGCCUGCUGCCACCGAAGCAUCCCUGCUGCGCAAACAAGCCAACGCACACCCACUGCAUCUUUUUCCCGUUCCUGUGCACAUCCGUCUUCUUGCAAGCCUCGAAACGUCUAGUUCGGAAGCUCAGAUCGAAAAACCUUCUUCAUCAAAGUUGUUCGUCUCUGUCUCUUCCAUCUAACCUCCGAAUUUCAGCCUUAUCGGAGUCAUAUUGAGAUCUGUACACCAAUCGAGGUACAAGCUGUUCAGAACAGAAUCUGCUCCGAAUUUUCACCAAGUAAGUAUUCAAAAGAGUAAGUUUUAAAGUUCCUAAAAUUUGAAAUUUGAAUAUUUCUUCUUUUUCUCGGGGACUUAAAAACCUCCCUUCUUCUUCAUCCCACCUUUCUUAUAACGUGGGUUCGAUCUUGAAAAGCGGAAUCGUGGGGAUUCACGCAAUUAACGAACUAAGAGCGUUCGUAAGACAUCGGACUAAGAGCGUCCGUAAGCAUCGAUUUAACGAACUAAGAGAGUUCGUAUGCUACGGACUAAGAGCGUUCG
rnacentral:lncRNA from 1 species